UACGAAGGGGGCUAGCGUUGCUCGGAAUUACUGGGCGUAAAGGGCGCGUAGGCGGAUAGUUUAGUCAGAGGUGAAAGCCCAGGGCUCAACCUUGGAACUGCCUUUGAUACUGGCUAUCUUGAGUACGGGAGAGGUGAGUGGAACUCCGAGUGUAGAGGUGAAAUUCGUAGAUAUUCGGAAGAACACCAGUGGCGAAGGCGACUCACUGGCCCGUUACUGACGCUGAGGCGCGAAAGCGUGGGGAGCAAACAGG
rnacentral:rRNA from 2 species